UGUUCCUAGGUCAGGUGCUCUUCAUGGUCUUAGUAACACGUCCAAGAUGUUCUGGUAAUUUGUAUCUCUGCUUCAAUUAAGAAGAGAGUUAACAAGAACUGUAACACUGGACCUGAGUGGGAGCUGCGGAUACGUAUGCCUCUGAUCUGAGGUGUCCUAACAAAACAAGGCACAGCGUUUCACACAGGAAGAAAAGGGGGGGGCGCAGGAAUGUUUUAUAUUGGCUGGCGUAUUCGGGGAGGGUUCUCUCCAGUGACAUCCUCGCUUCCAAACUUCAAACACACUCUUGUGAGUGCAUAG